UUUGCUCGCAAACGAAAAAAACCCGACUUCAAUUACAUCGACAAGUAAUACAACGUAGAUCGACGAAAAAAUAGUCAAGCAACUACGCGUUAUCAAAGAUUACUCAAAAAGUAGUGAUCAGAUCUCGAUAAAAUUUAUAUGUGACCACAUGAUAAACAUCAGCUUUCGAUUAAAUUAAAAAUUAUCAAAAUCGGUACAUCCAGUAGAAAGUUAUGCGGUAUAAUACAACGUAGGUCGACGAAAAAAGCGUCAAGUAAAAACGCAUUAUUAGAUAUAACUCGAAAAGUAGUUGUUAGAUCUCAAAUAAAUUAAAAUGGGACCAAUUGGCACACACCACCUUUCGAUUAAAACAAAAUUUGUCGAAAUCGGUCUACCCGGUCAAAAGUUCUGAUGUAACAUACAUAAAAAAAAAAAAAAAAAAAAAAAAAAAA
rnacentral:misc_RNA from 1 species